rnacentral:rRNA from 1 species
AGUGGGGAAUAUUGCGCAAUGGGGGAAACCCUGACGCAGCAACGCCGCGUGCGGGAUGAAGGCCUUCGGGUUGUAAACCGCUUUCAGCAGGGACGAAGGAUUUCUGACGGUACCUGCAGAAGAAGCACCGGCUAACUACGUGCCAGCAGCCGCGGUGAUACGUAGGGUGCGAGCGUUGUCCGGAAUUAUUGGGCGUAAAGAGCUUGUAGGCGGUCCGUCACGUCGGAAGUGAAACCUCAGGGCUUAACCCUGAGCCUGCUUUCGAUACGGGCAGACUUGAGGGAUGUAGGGGAGAACGGAAUUCCUGGUGGAGCGGUGGAAUGCGCAGAUAUCAGGAGAAACACCAGUGGCGAAGGCGGUUCUCUGGACAUUUCCUGACGCUGAGAAGCGAAAGCGUGGGGAGCAAACAGGCUUAGAUACCCUGGUAGUCCACGCCGUAAACGGUGGGCACUAGGUGUGGGACCCUUCCACGGGUUCCGUGCCGUAGCUAACGCAUUAAGUGCCCCGCCUGGGGAGUACGGCCGCAAGGCUAAAACUCAAAGGAAUUGACGGGGGCCCGCACAAGCGGCGGAGCAUGCGGAUUAAUUCGAUGCAACGCGAAGAACCUUACCUGGGUUUGACAUAUACCGGAAACAUCUGGAGACAGGUGCCCCGCAAGGUCGGUAUACAGGUGGUGCAUGGCUGUCGUCAGCUCGUGUCGUGAGAUGUUGGGUUAAGUCCCGCAACGAGCGCAACCCUCGUUCUAUGUUGCCAGCGGUUCGGCCGGGAACUCAUAGAAGACUGCCGGGGUCAACUCGGAGGAAGGUGGGGAUGACGUCAAGUCAUCAUGCCCCUUAUGUCCAGGGCUUCACGCAUGCUACAAUGGCUGGUACAAAGGGCUGCAAUACCGCAAGGUGGAGCGAAUCCCAUAAAGCCAGUCUCAGUUCGGAUUGGGGUCUGCAACUCGACCCCAUGAAGUCGGAGUCGCUAGUAAUCGCAGAUCAGCAACGCUGCGGUGAAUACGUUCCCGGGCCUUGUACACACCGCCCGUCAAGUCAUGAAAGUCGGUAACACCCGAAGCCGGUGGCCUAACCCUUGUGGAGGGAGCCGUCGAAGGUGGGACCGGUAAUUAGGACU